CCCAGCACCCCGCCGCCCGGCGGUCCCGCUCCUCCCCCGGCCCUCUGGGCCCCACCCCCUGCGUUCCCGCAGCUCCAGCACCCCUGGAGGCGCCUACAGCUCGCUCCACCCUCUCGGGUAACCCAGCAGCUGGCGGCCCCCUGAGUCCACCAGCUUGCGGGCCAGCCUCGGUUUCUCUGCUGUGGAGACAGGUUGCCCGUCCUGCCACCAUCUGGGCUCUUAGCCAGGCCAUGCAGUCACCACUCAUUGGGUAUGAUUUCUGGGAAGUCUUAGGUCCUGCUCUUAGCAUGGGGGAAGGGAAGGAGAGAGGGAGAGAAGCAUCAAUGUAUGGUCGCCUUUCGUGCGUCCCCUGCUGGGAACUGGCCUUCAGGAAACUGGCCUGCAACCCCGCCCCCUCCACCUUUAGGAAUGCUCCUCUUAAACACCACCUCCUCCAAGAAAUCUACCAGGACUGCAGGAAGAAAGAAAUCGCUCCUGUUCUCCGAGCAGCACUUCAGGCCGGAAGCACGUCGGGGACGCAAGUUCUGCAUCAUUUCACUGGCAGUGGGAACCUGACACCACUUUUUCUGAGCCAACAUGUAAAGCAUGGAAAAAAAUCCGUUUUCUGGCUUUUCUGAGUCUGUAUUUCUGCCUGUCAUCGAUGGCGUUCCCUCACAGACGAAGGGUGCACUCUCACACCUUCCCACGGAGUCCAAGUGCGGCUCUGAGGGUUUCUCCUGCACCCUGGCCGACGCCAACGCAGAGAAGCCUUUGUCUGGACCUGCGUCUCUGGAAAAAAAGAAAAAUGUGACCGUGAAAGUGAGGUCAAAGGGUCAUGUGCUACAGGGAAAAUAGGAGCAGGCACAUUUCUUCGUGGAUUUGAAGAAUAUUCCUGCAUACGUACAACACAAAGUAGGUCUAUGUUAAAAAAUAUAUGUAUAAUGCCCAGCGCCAUUGUGUCUCAGCAUCAUGGCUACGGCUGGGGGGAAGUUCACUGGCAUGUUAGACUCCUCAGUUUGGCUCACUUGGUCCCAUGACUUAGUGUUGUGAUCUCAUACAAAACUGUGGCAAUACCCAAAUGUCUCUGCAGUGUAACCCUUUCCUGGUUGCUCAAAUACAGUCCCACUACUUAUCCUUGUUUCAGAACACCUGAGCAUGAGACUUUCAAGGUUGUGUUGAGGCAGAAUGAAGUCCCACAUCUAAAAUCAUUU